UCGAUCGCAUCUACCCCCGCCGCCGCCGUCCGAGGGGGAGAUGACGCCACCGCCGCCUCUGCAAGGCAGGGCGGUUUGAUUCCCGCCCAUGCAGCCUCUGCAAGGAAGGGCGGUACUGCACUUCGUCGGUACCGAAGGGGCACCCUGCCGCGGCUGGGGAUUCGCCGCCACUCUCCUAUCUCUCACCGCGCACCUUCCCCGACCAAGGAGCGCCCCAACCUUGCCAUGUCACUCGCGUGGCUCCCAUGGCGCCGCCUGCAUAGCUCCUUGCGCCGCCGGUCAUGACGCCCGCCUCCACCACAACUCCUCUGCCUGCGCCCCCAUGUGUCUGAGAUCCAGGUACUCAUCACUGUCGAUCCCCAGUGGGAGAGGCCCCCGCCUUCCUCUCCUCCUACGUGGUGGCCGAUGGCCGCAGUUAACGGUGCUCCUGCGAGCGGGAGACACGAGUGCGGCGCAGGCAGUGACCAAGAGUGAUGAGACAGCCCCCGGCCGCCUGGGGGCGGUUCUUUCACGUGCUGUAGACCAUGCCAUUCUGCUAUGACGAGGAUGUGUUCCGAUUACGUGGUUAAUACUAUCACAAUGCAAUAACUAGGAAGAUUACAGAGGGAAGGGACAAUAUGUAAGAUGGGGCAAGGAGGCUGGCUUCUCAUGACGACUUCAUAUAUGAUGCAACACUUAAGAGCUACUACAAAGCUUUUUUUAGGAAGCUACUACAAAACUUUUUUUCAGAAGCUACUACAAAGCUUUUGUUCAGUGACGCCUUAUUCUGUCGUACUCAUGCUCAUCACUGGUCGCCUCUCUAUCUCUGGCCGGACUCCAUUGUCGGCUCCGCCUCUGCCUCGAUCCCAUGCACCAUGGCUGCCCAGAUGGCCAGCCAACGGACACAGGCGACUGCCACGCUAGUGGGAUAAGAGUACCAUAUCCCGAACAACGGGGUGGUCCAACUUUUAAUACUGGCGAAGCUUUUGCAAUGAUGGCUGAAUCAUUUGUUGCUCUGGUGGAGGUUCAAUUAAACCGAUGUAAAAAAAAUGCCAGAUUCUUUUGUCAGAUAAAAACAUGACUGUGUAUUUUGCUUGUCAGGACCAAGAUCUCUAGCUAUCAAUGAAAUUUCCAUAGUAGUUUUUGUUGCCUCUGUGUAACCCUGAUAGUAGCUUCUUGGAAGGUUCAGAUGUGUGGCAAAGGAUUUCAAUUUUCCUGUUUACACAAAGGCAGCCCGUGGAAGGUUCAGAUUUCUCAUGCUAGGAUUUGUGCUCUCAGGGUUACAUAGACAAAAGUGCCUCCUACUUAGUACUUACUCAAAGGCAACCUGAGAAAGGUUCGGAUUUCUCAUGACUGCUUCUUGGGUAUUUCAUGCCUUUGUCAUCUUAUUAGGAAAAUGUAGUUUGUUUUAUAGCUGAUGUUGCUCGAUGCUUUUCAUCGAUGAGUAAAUGCUUAACUUAAGCUCAUAACUACAUGGCACAAGCUACUUCCGAUGGGUCCUGUGCAAAUAAGUUUCAUCUUCAGACAUGCCUUGAGUUGAUUAUUUAAUCCUUUUAUAAGAAUCUAUUUAGCUUCGUAUUGUUGCAGUUUCAUUAUAUAUGCACUUACCAAUGCAUCUAAGGUUCAACAAUGUAGAAACCACCAUUAGUCUUGAGGCUACAAGUUGCUUCCUCAUUCCUCUGUGUUACACUGUAGGUGCUAAGGGGCCAAGGUCACAUGUUCGUUGAGGCAUCAAUACACCUCACUUUCCCUUUCCUUUCUCCUAUUUCUGUUCUUGCAUUUAUUUGUUCUUCUCGGACCUCUCUGUCCGCUGCUUUAAUAUGGUUCUGAUUGGUGCCUUACGUCUCCCAAGAUAUAUGGAUUUUGGUUGAGGCAGUCAUCACAUAAAUAAAAUGCUAACAUUCUCUUAAUUUCUGAAUGGAUUUGUGAAAUUCCCUUCUUUUUGUUGGAUCUCACCUGAUUUGUUUGAUGUCCUUGAAGCAAAUACCAUGACAAGAGCUUGAAGAUUUCAAAGAUACAAAGGGUUAGCAAAAAGAGGAUAUACUGAUUUCAUCUGCUGCACUUAAGAGUCGAGUCUCUCCGUAACAGGUGCUGGAAUUCCUCGUAGUGGAGUGAAAACAAUUGUCUCUACGCAUGCAACAGCAAGGUGGGAAGUUGUAAUUAUUGUAGGACUUAUUUUCUGAAAGUUGAAGGGAGGUAUUAUGCAAGUUACAUGCUUUCAAUUCAGCAUGAAACCAAGACACGUGAUAUAUUGGUAAAACAGUUAGGGUGUGAUGAUUCAUGAACAAAAGAUUCAGAAAAUUUGUUGAAUCAUUUAAGGAGCAAGAACAACAAGUAUGUGCUGAAAAAUUAUUUCCCAUGGUUUCUUCACUCUUGGUUAAGGGAUUCUGGCACAUUCCCAAAGUAGCAACUUGUCAAGUAUUUCAGAGAGUGUCAUGUGAGUUCAACAUUACUUGUCUAGAGGUAAUUGUCAAAAUUAGCCUCCCGAGUUUGCUUGUGUCGCUCAUGGUAUUUGUUGAAAUAUAAAAGGUGUUGAUUUUACUGAUUACAGUACGAAAACUAACAAAAUGAUGAUUCAGUUGAAGUUUUUGUGUCCUAUGGAAUUAAUUGUCUAUAUCUCUGUAUAAUUUUAUACUAUAAAUUUUGGCACUCCAAUUUAAAAAGUGAAGCACUUCACAAUUAUGUGUGAUGUUUCAAGCAGAAUUGAGAUUAGCGAAUAUUUUUCUGCAAAAGAAAAGCAUGCAUGACUUGGAAACUAUGAGAUUUCUUAUCAGAAUUACUGCCAGAUCUACGGAUAU